rnacentral:rRNA from 1 species
GUGUUGACGGUACCUGAGGAAUAAGCACCGGCUAACUCCGUGCCAGCAGCCGCGGUAAUACGGAGGGUGCAAGCGUUAUCCGGAUUCACUGGGUUUAAAGGGUGCGCAGGCGGGUUAGUAAGUCUGUGGUGAAAUCUCCGAGCUCAACUCGGAAACUGCCUUUGAUACUAUUAGUCUUGAAUUUUGUUGAGGUUGGCGGAAUAUGUCAUGUAGCGGUGAAAUGCUUAGAUAUGUCAUAGAACACCGAUUGCGAAGGCAGCUGGCUA